AAAGAAUCAUCUGAAAGGAAUGUGGAGAUCAGAGAAAAAUGAUGGGAAAGUUACCACAGCCUGCAAAUGAGAAAUGAUGAGAGCCUGCCUGGGACAAAGAAUCUACAAUAGAUCUUCUCCAGCAGCUCUGGAGGUCAGACCCAGCUGUGGAGAGAAUCAUUUCUAAAAAACUAGAAGGCACGUUGGGAGACUACUACUUUCUGUGGAUGAAUGGGAAAUUCAAGACAGAAAAUGGAUGGGCGAUAUGGAAAUACAACUGUUUUGCCAGGACGAUUAAAUAUCAUUGAUGCUUCUGGUCUACAAUUAGUCAGAGAAGAGAUUAAAAAAAUGAUGAGUAUUCAAGAAGGAAAGUGUUUGCUUUAACAUAUGAAGAAAAGGAGCUUCAGAGUGGUGAUUAACCCCAGAAUUGUGUGGAACGGAUAUGGAAACAAGACCACAGGAGCAUCGAGAACUGAGCAGAACUGAAGGUGACAUGAAAAUCAGCUGCAAGAUUCACCUCAGGGUGAUAAUGGGCUGCAGGUGGCUGCAGGAAUCCCGGGACAUUCUAGGCACUGCCAUAUUUUCUUAGGGGCCAGUAAGGAUGG
rnacentral:lncRNA from 1 species